GAUGAACGCUGGCGGCGUGCCUAAUACAUGCAAGUCGAACGGAGAUAUUGUAGCAAUACGGUAUCUUAGUGGCGAACGGGUGAGUAACGCGUUGGUGACCUGCCCCAAAGAGAGGGAUAACAAUCCGAAAGGAUUGCUAAUACCUCAUGUGGUCAUCAGGGUUAGAGGCCUGAUGACUAAACGGAUUUAUUCGCUUUGGGAGGGGCCUGCGUCCCAUCAGCUCGUUGGUAGGGUAAUGGCCUACCAAGGCUGUGACGGGUAGGGGACCUGAGAGGGUGACCCCCCACAAUGGAACUGAAACACGGUCCAUACACCUACGGGUGGCAG
rnacentral:rRNA from 1 species